rnacentral:rRNA from 1 species
AUACCAGCCCCGCGAGUGGUCGGGACGGUUAUUGGGCCUAAAGCGCCCGUAGCCGGCCUGGCACGUCCCCUCCUAAAGCCCCGGGCUUAACCCGGGGAUUGGGGGGGAUACGGCCAGGCUAGGGGGCGGGAGAGGCCGAGGGUACUCCCGGGGUAGGGGCGAAAUCCUAUAAUCCCGGGAGGACCACCAGUGGCGAAGGCGCUCGGCUGGAACGCGCCCGACGGUGAGGGGCGAAAGCCGGGGGAGCAAACCGGAUUAGAAACCCUAGUAGUCC